UUAGUGUUACGAUAAUACUUAACAUUAAGUAGUCACUUACAAGUGCGGAACCAAGUGUAUUUUCUACAGAUAUGCAUGGGCAAACGAACAGUUUGAUAAGAACAUUUGAUCGGUUUUGUGGUGCACGAUAUAACAGAAUUAUUGAUACUAAAACCUCGCUUGCCAAACGAAUUGAAGAUAACUUGUCUGCCUGUUCGGAAAUAGAUUCGUAACAAACUAAUGUAUAUUUUCAGUAAUAUACUUAAGACAAGCGAGCCAAAUGUAUUGGAACAAAUAAUUGAUUGCUCGUAAGCAGGCAUGACACUCAUAUGUAAAACAUAUGUGAUUAUAUUCACGUGUUUUUUAGUGAAAUAUAGCGUCCAGACUUUUGGCUUUGCACAGUAUUAUAUAAGUGUGCCGAAUGAUCUAAUUACCCUCGUUCCUCAUAAUUAUGAAAAAUAUUGUCUAUCUACGGAUUUUAAAUGGAAGCCGUGUCCGAAAUACACCACAUCGACAAACGACGUAACGCCAGUGACAAAAUCAUAUAAUUUAGAUGAUCAAAUACUAUUCAGUCACCUUUUUGUGGGCAAGGAAUUUAAAGAUCAAGACUUGUAUAAUUUAUUCUUGUCAAUUCCCCCAAGUGUUCCUAAAUCAAUAGGUGGCUUAUUUAGGUAUUGGAACUGGCUAUUAAUGAACACUCCAAUAGAAUUAUAUAGUGAUGAGAUUCCGCUGCCAAUACUCAAUUAUCGUAAAGGAACUGAACUGAUUUCUUCCAAACAGAAAGAAAAUGAGCUAACUUCAAAUUUCAGUCGACUAGGAACUGACCCAAAAGAAGACUUAAUAAGUGAAUUUAUAGAUUCAUUGGAUCAACUCGAAAAGAACUUCUACGCCACAACGUACACAGCUUUGCAAGCAAUCAGCCCUUCCGAGUAUGUAAAUGGGAUCAGUUUUACACUUUCUGGAUUAUUUUUACAAAUGGCACUAAUUGCUCUAUCAACAGAAGUAGAUCAUGAAACUAGAAGAGAAUUAGAUCAGUGCACUGGCUUUUAUGUACCAGAACAGGCUAAAAUAGAAGUACUGAAAAAUAUAAUAUCAUGGCUACCUACAUCAAGUGAUCGUCUUAAAUUUCGUUACAAAACGAGAUUAGUAGUCAAACAAGGUAUUUAUCUAAGUGAAAAGUUCAUGCGAGGUGCUGCAGCAGCAGGGCGUAUCAAAAUAGAACAUUUAAAUGAUACACAAACUCCUGAAAAACUAACUGCCAUUCUUAAUAACAUGGUUGAAAUUGAUUCAGGUGGGGCCUUGCGUGAUACAUUUGAGGAUCACGAAUUGUCUGAAGGCGUUUGUGUCAUUUUGAUGACGACUGUUUACUUGCGAGCUCGCUGGAGGUCACCGCCCACUCUUUUAAAUGGAACAUUUCCAUUUUACGAUGACGAAAGAGAAAGAAACGCUCGGAUGAUUCGCAUCAAUGAUAUUAUGGGAUAUGCUGAUCUUCCAGAAUGGGAUGCCGAAGCCCUUGAGAUAAAAUAUGCAACCACCGGGUUGAGUCUUGUUCUGGUAGUGCCUAAGGGGCGAAGCCUCCGUGACGUGGCGGCUCACAUGUCAACCACAAGCAUUCAAAGCAUUGUUCGUGGAAUGCAGAGCAAGCGUAUAGCAGCUACCCUACCACUUUUUACAUUACGCAUGACUUUACUUCUACCCUCUAAAAUGCAAACAUACUACCUUCAAGUACACAUUCUAGAUGGGAAUAACGCGACUGAUGGACAAACAGUGUGAGGGUUUAAGAUUGUCUCACGCCAUUCAGAGGAUCAUGUUUUGGUCUGAAGCUGGACGAUAUGCAUUUAAAGAUGACGGAAUAGAGUGGGAUGAAACUCCAGAGCAGAGAAUCAUUUUCGAUCGGCCAUAUUUAUUUUACGUGCGAUGGCAUAAUGUCACAAUAUUAAAUGGCAACUUUGUUCUUUGAUAAGAAUACGCAAAUAACGUACAUUGUAUAUUCUUACAAAUAGGUAUAUUUUCAAUACAAAACAUAUCAAAAGCA